rnacentral:rRNA from 1 species
UGGGGGAUUUUGCACAAUGGGCGCAAGCCUGAUGCAGCGACGCCGCGUGAGGGAUGAAGGCCUUCGGGUUGUAAACCUCUUUCGCUGGGUUGAAAGGCCAUGCUUUGGGUGUGGUUGAUUUGAACUGGUAAAGAAGUACCGGCUAACUACGUGCCAGCAGCCGCGGUAAUACGUAGGGUACUAGCGUUGUCCGGAUUUAUUGGGCGUAAAGGGCUUGUAGGUGGUUUGUCGCGUCUGUCGUGAAAUCCUGUGGCUUAACCAUGGGCUUGCGGUGGGUACGGGCAGGCUUGAGUGCGGGAGGGGAGACUGGAAUUCCGGGUGUAGCGGUGGAAUGCGCAGAUAUCAGGAGGAACACCGGUGGCGAAGGCGGGUCUCUGGGCCGUUACUGACACUGAGGAGCGAAAGCGUGGGGAGCGAACAGG